ensembl:lncRNA
UAUAUAUAUAUAUAUAUAUAUAGAUUUCAUAUACUGAGCAUAUAUUUGAAAUAUACAUUUUGGUCAGAAAAGAAAUGUUUAACAUUACAUAUAAUUUAAAUCAUAUAAACAUAUGUUUUUUUUUCAUAUGGGAAUGAUUAUGAGUGAAAUAUACAUACUUUUCUUUAAUUUCCUGAUCUCUCUUUGCAAGAAGCUGCUCCAGCCUCUGGACCUCACCGCUCUGUUGUGACUCCUGCACAAAAAAAAUCAUAUCUCUGUUAUGGCAUCAGUCAUCCAAGAGGACACAGAUCUCUGGCAGGUUUGCAGGUCCCACCUGAUGGCGAGCAGACCGCAGCUCCUGUAGCUGUUCCUCCAGCUCAGUGUCUCUGAUCCUCAGCAUGUCCCUCACCUUCAGCAGCUCCGCCUUCACCUGCACCAACUCUCCAUCCACGACUUCAAGAGACACCUUGGACGUGACAUUUUUAACGUUGACAUUGUGACCAAACAGCUCUUUAAAUGCAUAUUAUAUAUUUAUUCAUGAGGGACUUUUUGACUACAUACAGAGCUACCCAUGAGUCUCUCCUGCACUUGGCUUGGGUCCCUCUCAGGCUCUAUCUGUUGUGAAAUUUCAGGCUCUCGCUGUAAGACAACGUAAAGAGACAAUAAUAUACAACACAGUAACACUACACUUGACAAAUGGUCACAUUAGACCAAUGAAAGGAAACAAAAGUUACGUUGUCAUUCACUCGUUGUUGACUCUUGAGCUCAUCGAGUUCUGCUUGCGUCGAGCAUAACGUCAUCGCCACAUCCAGCCACCUCUCAUUCCAAUUGUCCUGCCGUUCUCUGUAUAUAUGGAAUUAAUAACCUGGAUCAGAGCCAAAAAUAAUCUGCACAAUCAAUAUUAAUAAUCAUUUCCAGGCAACACUGAAGUUCGACCUGUGCUGGCAGCAUCUCUCUCCCAGCUCUAUCAUCUUCUCAUGAAGUCCAUCAUCAAAUGUUUUCCUCAGUUCCUCUUUCUCUCCUAUCAGCUGCAAGCGCUCAGUCUCCAGUGCCGCAAUCUGAUUGGUUUGGAUCAGUUUCUCCGCCUCCAGCUCGUGUAGCUGGUUAAGAGUCACCUGUAGUCGCUCUGUAGCUUUGGUCAGAUCAGAUGACAGCUUUUCGUUCAACUGAAAUUCCAAAGUAUUCAGAAAAAGGUUGUUCAGAACAAUUCAGAACAAACUAAAAAAAUAAAAGGGUUUUAUUGAAAGCCAAUCAAAUAACUUUUUUUUUUUAAAUAUAAUUAUAUAAUAUUUAUAAUAUUAAUGUUAUUAUUUUCUAAUGCUAUGACUUUAAACAGUCUUUAAAAUAAUAUAAUUUCACCUGAUAAUAUAAUAUAAUAUAAUAUAAUAUA